UUACCCAGACCCAGUCUAAAAAGUUACUGACCAACAGUUAUAAACAGCUUUGAAAACUGCCCACAGGCUGCAGAGCAUUCUAGAAGCUCCAGCCCAUCUCUGUUGCUGGCUAGCAAAGGCUAAUCCACUAUCAGGCCCUCCUAGUAGAUCCUCCCACUUUAAUUCUCUGCCUGUGUCCCCCUGGCCACCCGUCGCCCUGUUUCCUGACCCUACACAGUCCAGUGCUAUUAUUCAUAGCAGUGAGGAAACUUUACAUUGUCUGCUCUAGGUGAGAUGCUUCUCUCCACAGCCUCGAUGGCGAAUGGUUCACUGAUGGGUCCAGUUUUGGGGAAGAUGGGCACAGAAAGCUACGAGACUCCAUGGUGACGCUCAGAAGGACUUUGGGGGCUAAACCGCUUCCCUGGGGAAUCUCUGCUCAGAAGGUGAGCUCAUUGUCCUCCACAAAGCUUGAAAAUGGGGAAAAGACUGAGAGGGAACUUCUAUACUGAUUCCAGGGGCUCCCAUGCUCACUGGGGCGACAGAACGGCAAAGAAAGGGGAAUCCUGCCAGCCAGGACUUCACCUUGAAGGGUGCAGGGGAAAUUCGAGACUGACUGCAAGCCGUGGCCCCACACAGAGAGUCGUCUGUAAUGUUGGGAAAAGGACAUCAGAGGGGCACUCAUCCCCCCUGAGAGAUCACAGACUUGCCCAAUCAGCUACGGGGCUGCUGCACGUUUACCCUUAGGCACCACAGCCCUGCUCUCCAAGCUCCCCGACUCUUAGCCACCUUCUCAGAGUUCCCAGGGACAGCCCCAUGCUAAAGAACGAAAGGGCACAUCAUCUUUCCCCUCUCUGGGGGCUUUCAACUCCCUCUGGCCCAAUUCCACUCCCACAGGCAAGCCAGCAUUCACUUCUCUUUGAUCUGCAGCCAGCUGCUCCCUUGGGAAAGAACAGCCUCCACUCCCUGUGUCCAACCCGCGGCCUCCCUGGACACAAGCUGGCAGCGAUCCUCAGGCCAUUUUGUCAGCCUGGCCAAUAUGUGCCCAAGGAAAGCCUGAUGGUGCUGGGGACCACCCCUCCCCCGCAGCCCUCCCUUGGAACACCUGCUCCCAGGAAGCCUGCUCCCCCUGCCAGAUUGACUUUGCUCAGAGGCCCCAUGGCAGGGCUCUCCAACCACUUGUGGUUUCGGUGGAGAUCUUUUCCAUUUUGACCAUAUUUUGGCAUGGGGUGUGAGAUGCACACCCCAUGGGUCGAAGCCGCGUUUCUGAGAUGUGAUUUUCCACUUUUCCCUGAGAUUUAUUAUCAAAUAGUGAGUUUUUAUUACCAGAAGCUGAAGUUUGGGGCUUUAUCAAAUACUAUAUAACUAUAGGCCUUGAUCACUGUCAUCUAUUCCACUGAUCAACCACUCUGUUAGCUAAGAGCAAAUGGUUUUGAGAACUGCUGCUUCAUAUUAUACUUUUAGGUUUGGUAAUGCUAAGCCCCCAUCCUAUUUCAUUUUCCUUCUUUUUUACUUAAGCUUUUUAUUUUCAAAACAUAGAAAUGGAUAAUUUUUCCACAUUAACCUUUACAAAACCAUGUGUUUCAGAUUUUGCUCCCACUGCCCCCACUCCCUCCCCUAAAUGGCAAGUGAUUCAAUAUAUGUUAAUCAUGCUAUAAUAUGUUACAUUCAGUGUAUGUAUACAUAUUAAUACAAUUUCAUGCUACACAAGAAAAAUCAGAUCCAAAAGGAAAAAAAAUAAGAAAGAAAACAAAAUGCAAGCAACAGCAAAAGGAGUGAAGGUACUAUGCUGUUAUCCACUCUCAGUUCCCAGUGCCCUCUCUCUGGGUAUAAAAGUCUCUCUUUAUCACAGGAUCAUAGGAACUGUCCUGAAUCAUCUCAUUCUUAGAAUGAGCCAGG